UUAUGUCAUCCAGCUCUGGCAUUGUAUGAUGGAGGAAAGCUUGUAAGACACAUUUGUACUACACUUGUAUUUAAGGAAUAAACAGUAUUAUUUGGGAGCUUUUUCUUCUUUCUAAAUAAAUCUUUGUAUUUUUGUCAUGAUA